CCCUUAGAUGUUCUGGGCUGCACGCGCGCUACACUGAAGCUAUCAACACGUUUUCCCUCCCUGAGAAGGGCGGGUAACCUUUUGAAUCAGCUUCGUGGUAGGGAUCGGGGCUUGCAAUUGUUCCCCGUGAACCAGGAAUUCCUAGUAGACGCGAGUCAUAAGCUCGCAUCGAUUAAGUCCCUGCCCUUUGUAAACACCGCCCGUCGCUACUACCGAUUGAACGUUUUAGUGAGGCAUUUGGACCGACGCAUCUCAGUUUAACCGCUGGUUUGUGUUGGAAAGACUUCCAAACUUGAGCGUUUAGAGGAAGUAAAAGUCGUAACA
rnacentral:rRNA from 1 species